rnacentral:rRNA from 1 species
CACGUAGGGCGCAAGCGUUGUCCGGAAUUAUUGGGCGUAAAGAGCUCGUAGGCGGUCUGUUGCGUCCGCUGUGAAAUCUCGGGGCUUAACCCCGAGCCUGCAGUGGAUACGGGCAGACUAGAGGUAGGUAGGGGAGAAUGGAAUUCCCGGUGUAGCGGUGAAAUGCGCAGAUAUCAGGAGGAACACCAAUGGCGAAGGCAGCUCGCUGGGACGUGACUGACGCUGAGACGCGAAAGCGUGGGGAGCAAACAGG